rnacentral:lncRNA from 1 species
UGGAAACGACGUUUCCCUUGAUUUAGAAGGGAAGUGCAAUGGAAGGUGCAAAAGAAAUUCCUAAAACUGGUUGGUAUUAUUGUAGGGCUUGUGUUUGGUACAAGAGUCUCACAGAGUAGAGUGAGUGAGUAUUCUAUUCCAAUGCCAUCAUCCAAUUCCACUCAGUAAGAUGUCAACAAACCUGUCUAGAGAAAACCCGUCUACACCAAAGUGGAUCAGCUCAAACCUGGAACCAACCGUCACACGUUGGUGGCUAAGGUCUUGUCCUCCGACACCGUCGUGGCAAACCGCGAUCUUCCUAUGCCCAUAACAUCAGAGCUACUAUCACUCGCAAUGAACAAGGUACUCCAAUUUCACCUACCCAUCCUUGCAAAAGUUAUUCUUUUUUACUUAUUUCAAUUUCCCUUUUAUCAAAUGGAAACUUUUCACUUGGACAGUAUUUUAUUUGUCUCAAUUUUGAGUUUUUAUUUUCAUUUUGGAGUUUUCUUUAUAAGAUCUGGAUUUGUAUUGGGUUUGUGAGAUUGCGCAUGUUUAGUGCUCUAAUUUCAAUUAUGCAUAUGCGCUAUGAUGGUGGUGAGUGAAUCAUAAGUGUCUGAUUCGAUAGAUAAGAUAAGCCCUUCUUCCCAUAUAUUUUUGGUUGGAUUGCGUGACCUAUUUAUAUCUCUGCACUCCUCUAUUGCCAAUUUCUAUGUAAGCAUACUAUAGCCUCAUCUACAUUAGGCCUUUUGAUGCUGCAGUGAGAAAAAAUAAUAGAAAAACACAAUAGGAGGAAGCUAAGCCAUCUUGGCUCUAACAUAACAUGUAGUUUCAUGCUUAUGACCUAUGGGUUUAUGCAAUACCUAUAUUGAGAGAAACUAUGUUAUCAUCAUAGUUGGGUUUGGAAUUAAUACAGAUCGCCAGAUGAGGUGGACUUCUGCAAGCUAAUGAGAUUAAAUGCCUCAUACAUCUUAUACAUACUUAUAACACAUGGUUCGAGUUCACCCAUAUAUCUUACCCCAACUUUUUAUAUUGAUUAUUGGACAUGAAUAAUUUACCUUGCAUUCUUUUUCCUAAUUCAACAUAAAUAGAUUAUAACUCAAAAUCACAAAAAAGAAACUACAUAUAAAAGAAGAAGAAAAUUUUAAUUUAAAAAGAAGAACAAAAAAGGAACUACUUCUAAAUUGAAUUACUUCACCAGGAAUCAGUGCAUAUAUCAUUCCUGCAUUCAGUAUUUGAUUUUUUCUCAUGUUAGUGUAGGCCACUGAACACAAAAUGGGCAUGACUUGGGAACAUAAACUAAUUGCUUUUGUACAAGAGAAAUUUUCAACUUAAAGUUUGAAGACAACUGUAAUAACUUAAUUUUGCCAUUUAUUUUACUAAGCUAGGGCUAGUAAUUUAAUCAUAUGAAAUGACAUAAUGUGACAGUUGAAUGGAAGUCCGGGUUAGGUUCAAAAUGUUGAAAAUGGAAGCCAUCUGGAAGGUUCAACAACUUGUCUUCUAUCCCUUCUCCUGCUCCCUCUCUAAUUUUAGUUUUACCAUUUUAUAACAAUGUUUCAGGUCCCCUAGACCAGUGUUGCUCUCCAACCCAUCCAGUACUUUCGAUUUGUCUGUCUCUUCACAAAUUAAGAAACACAGGAAGAAGAGAACAAAGUUGGUAUUCAUAUCUAUUAAAUUUGUCCUAUAUAUCUUGCAAAAAAAUUGCUGAUAUUUUUCAUCUAGCCGGUGGUUUAUGUAGUUAUGGUCUCAAACUCAUAGAUUCCAUGAAUUGAUAGUUUCUUUGAUAAUUGUUAUGUGUUCUUCUAUCUCUCUCUCUCUAAACUCAUAUGCCUCCAACUAUGUUAUUAAGGUCGUCAAAAAGGAUGAGCCGUUCAAAUACUUAUAAGAAUGCUUUUGUGGCUGUUCUACCCGAGAAGAAAAAUUUGUUGAAGAUGAAAAAGAAGUUUGUAUCUCUACCUUUAUCAUUUGUCACUCUUGAUGUAGUUAGGAUAAUAUGGUUGUGGGUGAACUGUUUUGAACUAAAUAUUUUUUUUCCGGCUUAAUUCUAAUAAACUGUUAUUACUAGGUCACACUGUAAGUAAAGUUGAACUCCCCCAGAAAGCAUCAAAUUCGAAAUCUAGUAAGAGUUAAUGUUAAUACCUACACCCUUUCAUUUAUAUGUAUUUAUCAGAUUGUAUUGUUAUAUCACUCGUUGCUGAUGAUAAUCAUUUUGUUAAUCCAACGUAUUAUUCUCAAGGGAUUAGUGAUUGCAUAAGUUAGUUUUUGAGGAAAAUGGACUGUUGGAUGGAAUUGAAGUAGCUUAGCUUAUUAUGCACGCGGACAGGUUGUUUGUGUGUUUUUUUUUUUGUAAGGCAUGUCUAUUAUCCGGCUAACAAUCACAUUUUGGUUAACAGAAAUUGCUUGAAGGUUUCAAAAUGGGCUGGUUUGAGGUCCAUGCACGAUUUGCUUCUUUUUUGAAGUCAUGAAAAGGAGAAUUAUAAUAAUUAAACAAGUUCUUUUAUCAAUACGUUUUAUGUUUUAUUUAAAAUCUAAGUCCUCUUUUCUUUGUUUGUUUUCAAAUGGUUUAAAUUUUUUUUAUAUCUAGGUGUCUUUGUUUUAAACUUUUUUCUUAAAAGAUAAUC